ACUGCUCAGUAACACGUGGAUAACAUGCCCUAAGGUGGGGGAUAAUCUCGGGAAACUGAGGAUAAUACCCCAUAGAUCUAGGAUGCUGGAAUGCUUCUAGGUCCAAAACUCCGGUGCCUUAGGAUUGGUCUGCGGUCUAUCAGGCAGUAGUGGGUGUAAUGGACCCACUAGCCCGUGACGGAUAUGGGCCUUGAGAGAGGGUGCCCAGAGAUGGACUCUGAGACAUGAGUCCAGGCCCUACGGGGCGCAGCAGUCGCGAAAACUUCGCAAUGGGGGAAACCCCGACGAGGGAAUUCCAAGUGCUAGCACUUUGUGUUAGCUGUUCUUCUGUCUAAAAAACAGGAGAAGUAAGGGGCGGGUAAGACGGGUGCCAGCCGCCGCGGUAAUACCCGCGCCCCGAGUGGUGGUCGAUAUUAUUGAGCCUAAAACGUCCGUAGCCGGUCUUCUAAAUCCUUGGGUAAAUCGGGCAGCUUAACUGUCCGAAUUCCGGGGAGACUGGGAGACUUGGGACCGGGAGAGGUCAGAGGUACUUCUGGGGUAGGGGUAAAAUCCUGUAAUCCUGGAAGGACCACCGGUGGCGAAGGCGUCUGACUAGAACGGAUCCGACGGUGAGGGACGAAGCCCUGGGGCGCAAACGGGAUUAGAUACCCCGGUAGUCCAGGGUGUAAACGCUGCGGGCUUGGUGUUGGGGGUCCUUAGUGGGCGCCCAGUGCCGGAGAGAAGUUGUUAAGCCUGCUGCUUGGGGAGUAUGUCCGCAAGGAUGAAACUUAAAGGAAUUGGCGGGGGAGCAC
rnacentral:rRNA from 1 species